rnacentral:lncRNA from 1 species
CAGCGGCUUGCUCAUGCGGCUCGCAGCCCUAUUAAAGCUUGACAUUGCUGCACAGAUGCAGCCACAACAAGCGAUCCCUCCUACGGUAUUUCUCCGACUCCUUCCCUCACAUUUCUCUUCCCAGCCCCGUCGUGUGCGCAUGCCGCCGUGCUAACAACUGCGGCGCAGCUUCCUUUACAACAUCUUUUCCUUCCCUCGCACUGCACUGCUCACCACAGCCUCGCCGAUAAUCUUGUCCACGUUGCGGACGAAGGGGUCGGACAGCUUGGCGAAGCCCUUGACGAAGUUGCGGUCGUUCAGCAGGCUGCGCGGCACCAGGCGCGCCGUGAGCCACAUAGCCCAGUUCCAGAUGAAGGGGUCGGUGCCGAAGCGCGCCGACACGUCCGGCACGCGCAUGUACUUGUGGCCGCUGACCACCUCGGGCAGGUUGUACAGGUACACGCCCUUGCGGCCCACGCCUGGCGGGAGCGGGUCAAAUGGUGGGUAAAUGAUGGGUGGGUAAAUGAGUGGGCGAGGCAAGUGCUCUGUUGCACUGUGGAAAGGGCGCAUUCAUCGCAUACAUACUGGAGUACGUGGGCACGCCCCCUCAAUGAUGGCUAAUUAUGAGGUCACGAUAAACACUGCCCAGGGCGCUAUCCGCGUCAGGUGCCUCGGCAAAUGGACGCCUGCGCCGCCCCGCGACCUCGACACCGGCUCCCGGCGUGCACUCACCAGGCCCGAAGUCCACCUCUCUCCGGUUGCUGAUGGGCGGCAGCACCACCUCCUUGUUGUCCUUGUACACGAUCACGUCCUCACCGGCCAGCAGGAAGCUGGUCUCCAGAAUGGUGGGGCCGGCGCCGCCGCUGCCCGCCGUGUAGUAGCUGUAGCGCAGCCACUUGGGCUCCACACUCUCACCUGCAGGCAUUAACACCAGCGAGUCAGGACUAACCGGAACAGCUACGCAGUUGCCAUCUGCUGCCGUGGGAUCCUCGUCCGCAAUGCCUCAGCAUCACCGCUCAGUACUCCUGCAUAAGCAACGUGGGUGUGCCCUGUUCCUACACCCUCGACCGCGGCCUCAUCCUCAACCGCGGCCCCACCUGCCACCACGCCGUCAGUACCCACCUGGUGCGGGUGUGCGGUAGUUCCAGUUGUCAUCGUACUCGGCGCGGGCGAUGGAGAUGAUGUGCGCGGCCAUGACGUUGGAGGUGCCAGGGUAGAUGCCGCCCGACACGAUGGCGGGCACGCCCGCGGCCUUGGCCUUCUCCAUAUAGGCAGCCUUGGCACUGAGGGUGGCCGGGGGGGGGUUUGAAAGUGAAAAACAGUAUUUUGAUUGGGUAGAGUUGGCAAUGACAGUUGUUUUGGACGUAGUGCCUAGUGUCCGCUCCUGGACCCGGCCCCCCCACCAGACCUGGCGGCUUAGGCCGCUCCACAGUCCGCCGCUGCGACCCUCAACUGCAUCCCCCAUGGUAUUGCUGGGCUCUCACCCCUCGGCAAAGGGCGUGUCAUCGCACACGUCGAUGUAGCCAGUGCCGGAAGCAAUGGCCGCCUCCAGCACCGCAUAGUUCUUAGAGCGCUGGAAGGGGCCGGCGGUGUGGAUGACCAGGUCCGCGCCCGUGGACUUGAGCAGCGCCUAGUUGAGGAGUAGGAGCAGGGAGGUUGGGGGAUGAGCGGUUGGAGCGGAGCGGGUGGCGAGGCUUGGAGGAUGCAGAACCUGAAGUGGCCCGUGCAGUUGCAAGUACCGUGCGCUUGACCUAGAUGCCCCUGCUUGCAGCAGCACUCUCAGCGCAUUCGAGAGCUCUGGCUAACGGUAACUCAAUCUCGCACUUCCUCCCAAAUCCAGCCUAGCUUUGCAAGAUCCCAUUGUAACGCUCCUGCCAUCUGGGUUGCGGGCUUGAGCACCAGGCCGGGCGCCCGCAGGCCCAGCAGCAGAGCGGCGGGGGGCGCCGGCGGCUAUGCGGCCUUUUGAGCUGGCUUCACGUAAGCACCAGCACAGCCUCCCGCCAAAAAUGCUCGGGAGGCAAGGCGGCAGCCAACUAGAACCAUAGCUGGACCGCUGACUCGCCAAACACCCAAUUAGCGCUGCUUCAGGGCCCAUGGCAUCAAAGCCGAGCCCCAGACCCACGGACCUGCACCGAGUCAGCGUUGGUGAUGUCCACGCGCUGAAAGCCCGCUUUGGAUAGCUCAGGCCGCCUCUCGACUGCUGCCUUGAAUGAAUCAUCGCUGCGGCUGGCCACCGUCACCUUCAGGUUGGGGAAUUCCUUGAGCAGAGUGGCCGCAGUGGAUGAGCCCACGCGACCAGUGCCUCCUAUCACCACAACCGACUUAUCGGGCACAGGACCCGUCGCACAUAUCACAUGCACUGCGGCCCGGCGGGCGCAGGGCCGGGCGACGAGUUUGGCACCCUGGCAUCGUGCGCCUGUGGCUCGCGAGGUGUUGGCCACACGACGCAUGGUGUGAGACUGGAUCUAGAAGAAAAGCCAACGACUAAAUACAGUACAAGAACAAAACGAUGACUGCAGAAUUAGAAAAAGAGGAAUGGCUUUAAUGCGAUCGCUAGUCCCAAUUCUGCGAGGCGAAGGUGAAUUGUUUAACUGAUUGAACCUUAUCAGCACCAUACACCGUAGUAUAAUAGCCGAACUGUAGCGUUGUUCGAAAUGCCCUGACCGGCGUCGGCCUUGCUGUUUACAUUUCGCCCAGGCGCGCACCGAAAUGCCACCGCGACUCUGCGUGAGGUGCAACACCUCUCGGGCUAUGCUGAAUCGCCCGAAAACCCAGGAGCAGGCGAGUUUCGGGGCCCGCCGGGGCUUCCUUGGGGCUGCGCAGCAGCGCACACGCCCACACCCGACCGGUCGGGCCCAACCCCCGACUUUGCACCGCGCAGGUCUGUCGGGAAUGCUUCUUCACGGCCUUUGAGGAGGAAGUACAUCAGACUAUUGUUGACAACAAGCUCUUCAAGCAUGGCGAGCGGCUUGCAGUUGCUGCCUCAGGCGGCAAGGACUCCACCGUGCUGGCCCAUAUUAUGAGCACGCUCAACGCGCGAUACAAGUGAGCAGGGAGGGCCACACGAAAGAGGCGUAUUAACGUAGCAGUAGUUUUGGGUAGUCUGGUAUGAUCUUUUGGGCGUUUGGCACGGCCAAGGCGCAGUUUGCGCUGGGCGACUACUCAGUGUGUGGGACUUUGCCGGUCUCAGUGUGGUGACCACGCCCGACCAAUUUGUGACCACAGCUACGGAUUGGACCUAUUCCUACUGUCCAUUGACGAGGGCAUCACCGGGUAUCGGGAUGACUCGCUGGAGACGGUCAAGCGCAACGAGCAGCAGUACGGCAUUCCGCUCAAGGUGAGUGAGGGCACGGACCUUGCGGUGCCGGAGAAAUUUCUUGGGCCAGCGGAAGGUGCUGAACUCGCAACAGCUGUUGCGUGCGGGCUCGCGUGUGGUGUAUAUUGUUCCAGUAAACCCAUGCAGCAUUUGCAGUACUCGAAUGCUGGUUGAGUUGGUCAAGCUCACUCAGCUCUUGACAUGCAGGUGGUGUCGUACAAGGAGCUUUACGGCUGGACUAUGGACGAGAUUGUGUCGCAGAUCGGCACUAAGAACAACUGCACCUUCUGCGGCGUCUUCCGGCGGCAGGUGCGUGCAGUGCCGCAAUAUCCAAUGCUUGCCACGGUCAACUGAGGCUAUUGGAUGCCUGCAUAAUGUUCUUGUCCAGAACUGCCCAGACACUGACAUUCAACUCCACUGCCGGUGCCCCCAACGCAACCCUCUUGGUGGCCAGGCGUUGGACCGCGGCGCGGUGCUGAUGGGUGCCAACAAGAUCGCCACCGGCCACAACGCUGAUGACGUGGCCGAGACCGUGCUGCUCAACAUCUUGCGAGGGGACGUGCCCCGGUAGGCCGCGGGAGCCUACAUGGCGUUACGCUGGAAGGUGGCACUGUCCGCUUAACUUCCUGUAUGGCGAUGGAAGCCCGCCUGUAACUGACUGACGCCCAGAACCUUCACUCCUUUCCUUCAUGCGCUUGCCUGAUGUGGCUCAGGCUGGGCCGCUGCGCCAACAUCAUCACAGGCGAGGACAGCUCGCUGCCGCGCGUGAAGCCGUUCAAGUACGCGUACGAGAAGGAGAUUGUGCUGUAUGCCUACUACAAGAAGUUGGACUACUUCAGCACUGAGUGCAUCUAUGCGCCCUUCGCAGCGCGCGGCUUCGCACGCGAGUUCAUCAAGGACCUGGAGGUGAGGGGGCCAAUCACAUGGUCACAUGGUGCCACUAGAAGGCGCAUGCAGCAAGGUUGCAGGGUUGGCAAUUGUUUGGCACUGUCACGUGUGGUGACUGCGUGUGCACACAAGCUUUGCGUGAAGCUCACGGGACUGAGCCAUACCUGCGUGUCGCGCAAUCCCUCUUGCGGGCAGGCUGCGAGGCCGCUGGCAAUUAUCGACGUGAUUCGCUCUGCCGAGGACUUCGUGUUCGCAGCGGCCUCGGAUGAGAAGCUACCGCAGCCGCGCACCUGCGAGCGCUGUGGCUACAUAUCCAGCCAGCCCGUGUGCAAGGCGUGUGUGCUGCUGGAGGGCCUCAACCGGGGCAUGCCGCGCCUAGGCGUCAGCCGCACUCGUGGGCGGCGUGGCGAGAAGGCGGGGCUACACCCGGACGUCGGCCGAGGCGGUGGCGGUGGUAGCUCGGGGCCUGCUGAGGUGGCAAGUGAGAGCGCGGAAGCCGCCAGCACAAUGCCGGCAGAACGGCAGGGAGGAGGGGUGGCACAGGCGCCAGCAGGCGGGGAGGGUGGUGCUGCGCCAACGACAGCGGGUUGUGCGGACGACGGGUUGCCGCGGUUCGAGGCUUGGGCUAGCGGCGCUGCGGGCGCUGGGGGCCAGACGGCAGCUGAGAAGGUGGCAAGGGCCGCUGUGCGCCAGAGAGGCCCUGUAGAGAUCGUGUACGAGACCACAUAGAACCCUAGAUAGUUGUUUGGCCCCGGCCGCACGGUAUAAGCGCUAACUGACAUGUAGUUGCAGAAGGCUGACAGGGUGCGGUUAGGUAAUCAGGGCGGAUCUUCAUCAGUUUACAGUUACUACGGCACACGCUGUUUGGUAAAGCACUCACUGCUAUGACUGCUAGACAGAGCACACAGGCGGCCGGUUGGACGGAUAUGGCGCGCCGGGAUAGGCAUGCGGUUUGGAGGUAGAGACCUUUGCAGAUGCCCCGCGGCAGGGCUUGCAACCGUGGCGGUGACUGCUGCAUAGGUAACCGAAGAUGCUUAAAGAACCCCAUGCGCACGGUGUCGGAAGAGGGCAUCGUAGCUAGCGUAGGUUGGCCAAUAUUGGCGCAUGCGGUAGGGGCAUCUGCGGGGAAAGCCGCGCAUGACGGCAUGAGGAUAGGCAGGCACGCGGUCCCCGGGUCCCGCAGAGGUGCCGAUGGCCGUGUGCUGUGUGUACUGGUAUGGUGCCGCUUCGGCGUCCAUUACUAAGACCGGACCUUACAGUGCCCUUCACGGGUGCGGCAUGCCCCCAUGGCGUACCGGUAUUAGGGCGAUCCGUGGCUCUCGCCUACGCGGUGUUCCCACACGCCGAAGCAAUGUGUUGAGUUUGCGCCUAGAACAGACGACCACUUAGGAGUCAGGACGGUGUAUUGGGGCUCGCGCUGAGACAGGAUCAACCCAUCUAGCUCCCUACGUCAACGGACCUAGGCCGGACGGCUGGGGAGGACGGCAUUCACCUGUCCUCCAUAAUCUGCACACACAACGCUGCAGCACACACACUCCCAAUCAAUCGGUAUCGCUAUCCAGGCAAUGCCAUCAAUCCGGGUCAGUCCAGAGACGGCCUGUUCAGCGGUGGCCAUGGCGGUGACAAGCGGUGAUGAGGCAGUAUGUUUGCUGCAGCACAAAGGUCGGCCAGACCGUUCUGAAGCCGGGGCAGACGAUGAUGGCAUGAGCUCGAUACUAGCUUACAUACACCAGCGCAUCACACCGGCGACGCCAUGUGAAGCACAUGCUGCCGUUACCUGUCUGCAUGAACUUGAAGCCUCGAUUGUACAUCGUGAUUGUACAUCUACACCAUGGAAUCCUUACGGCACUAUUUAGCCGCACGGAAGCCAUGCAUUCCUUCCAUGUCCAUAUGGAUUACCAUUGCCCUACCCCGAGCGGAUUGAGGUAAUGGUAGUGUUAGCACGCCCUCAGUAACUGUCAAAUAGUCAAGUCAUCAUCAUACGACCGUUCCGGGGCGACGCUAGCUCGGACCCCACCUGAUGCACCUUGCGCACACGCGCCCUGCGGUAUUCUGCCCCUGAACCCUUGACGCGCCAUCAGUACAGCACACGCCCACAAAACCAGCAUCACUUCGCACCCUCACACUCCACAACGUCACACGCGCACGCCACAUCAACUCUGCCACCUCCCCAUCACCGCCGCGUCGGUGACCCACGCUUCCCGCCUGUCGCGUCUGCCCCCGCUGGCCGGACCUUAAUGGCCGUCUCCAGCUUCCGCGGCAGCGUCCGUUGCACCUUGCUCUCCAGAUGCUCACGCGUCAGCGGGCGGUCCUCUUCCACCGGCUCCGGUUCCAGCCCCUCCACCUCCUCCUCCUGCGUAGUGCUGGGCGGCUCGAUGAUGAUGCGGUUGCCCGGCUGCGUCAGUGGCUGCGCCAGCAGCGCCUCCGCAAGGCCGUCAGUGCCCUGCUGCGCUUUCCGCUUGGCGUAAAUCUGCAGGCACAGCAAGAAUGAGCAAACCGUGUAAGCAUCAUGACGGGCACCUGCUCUACGCCUGGUGUGCACCGCCUUCCCUUGCGCGAUGGAUACCUAGGACGGACUGAAGUGCAUCCAGUCAUACAUCGCCUACGGACCCCAUCAUUGCACUCCUCUCUUUCACGACCAUGGCCUGGCGCCCACCUGCAGAAUCUCGUUUGUCCGCUGCUCGAUGAUGCCCAGGUACGCCGUCAGGUUGGCCUCGGUCACGCCCUCCUCGCCCAGCAGGUCGCGCACUGCCGGCGUGUUGCAGCCGAUGCGUUCAAACAGGUCAUUGAUGCCCGCCUUAAGCGCCGUGGUCAUGGACAAAGCCGAAUCCGUGCGCUUCUCGUACAGCUGCGACUGCGCCUCCGACGCUGCGAGCCGCGCCUCCUCCUCCGUUAGCUCGCGGGACUUGGUCAUGUCCAACUCGCGCCCGGUCUCCCUGUAGUGUGCGGGAGUUGAGCACAGUAAACACGGGUGAUGCGUUAGACCAUGUGCGCUGACGUAUGAAUGCGGAUGUUACAAAGGGGACAGUCCCAGCACCCGAAGACGCCGAGCCAUCACAUGCUAUCUUGAGUCCACCAACCCCGACUUUGCUGCAAACCCUCCCGCGGUCAAAGUCCGUGUGACUCCGCGCACAGUGAGUCCUAGCCAAGCCUCAACCCGCCAGAGCCCCACCGCUGUGCCUCAACGCCACAAGCCUAGGCAUAGGAGUGCCGGGAAACGUCUAGGCACGCUGACGUAUGACGUAUGACGUAUGACGCUGCUGAGACACUUGCCUAGAGAGGCAUGCGCGUGCGCAGUGCUUGAGCCCCCCCGUGCCAAACCCCGGCCCCAGCUUCAUGACACACCUGUACUUGUUAAUCUCCCCACGCAUGAUAUUGAUCUGGUCCUCCAGCUUCUCAAUUUCCUGGUUGACCUCGUUGACGUAGUUAAACAGCGUGUAGUUCUGGUCCUCAGCCGCCAGGAAGGUGUUGACCAGCUGGUCGAUGUCCUCAAUACCUGUGGCAUCCUGCAUGGAUGAAGGGCCAAAUUGACCGUGAGCCGACGGCAAACUCGCCACCAGCAGGCGCGAUUUCGUUGCAGCUCACGCCAGCUGGCUACCACUAGACCAGCGGCAUGUGCUGUAGCGUGGCACAUCAAAACCCCUUCAUCCCCUCGCAGCCCAGCACGCGUCGGUCCUUCUCAUCUGUCGCGGCUCACCUGGAUCCGCUUGAAGGCCUGGCCGUACAUCUCCACCUUCUCGGCCGCUACGUUCUGCGCCAUCGCCUUGUUGUACCCAACGUUCCACGAGCCUUUCGUGAUGCGCUUCUUCUUCUCUGCUGAGGACAGAGUUCCCAUCUUGAGGAGCUCCUGCGUCUCACGCUCGCGCAUUGCCAGCUCUUGUGCGCGGGCGCGUUCCUAUGGCACAUCAGUGGUUCGCAACGGUAGGCACAGUCAAUGGUGCGCGAAGUGGGAUGUGCCGCAGUUAUGCGUCAGUUUGCGUGUGCGAAUUGCAUCUGCCCGCAAGAGUGUGUGGGCAGGAAGGCAAGGGCAUAUGAGCAGUCAUCCAAGUACGCCAUGCCUUCGCCCCAAGUUGAUGCACCUCAGCACUCUGUACAAAUGUGUAGGUGCGCUGCGGCCCCAGCUACUACGCACCCGCUCCUUCUUGUCCUCCUCAAUGAUGGUUGUGAGCUGUCGCCAUUCCUCCUCGAAGCCCUGCUGCUCCUUGUCCGCCUGCGCCUUCAGGGCGUUCAUCUCCCCAAUGGCCUUCUCUCGCGCCUCAAAUGCUCCAUUGGCCUGCUGAAUCAUGUCCGCCAUGUCCCGCUUCAGCUUCGCCAGCUCCCGCUCCAGGUUGCUCUGGAUGCUCUCAAACAUGAUGCGCUCCCGCCGGAGGUUAUUUAUAGACUCCCGCAGCUGCUUGUUGUGCGUAAUGGACUGGUUGUACUUCACGUACGCCUUCUCGAGCCGGUUCUCCAGCAGCUUAAUGCGCUUCUGCACCGCGGUUGACUGCUCCUUGGCGGAGAAGAUGCCGCCCAUGUUGUUCCGGGUGGUGGUUAGCGUGCUGCCCAUUUCCGACAGCUGCUGGUCCAGCAUCUUUGUCUUGCGCAUCUCCAACACAAUCUGCAAAUAAGCGCGCGGUUUCAGCGCUGGCACACGAUGACACGCGGGGCGCGCGGUGCAUGUCAACCCACCUUGCGGGCAAGCAUGUCGCCCUCAUCCUGCAACCGGUUGAUGAGGGCUUGUGCAAACGGGUCACCAGGCCGAACGCUGAACUUAUUUUCCAGCAGCAACUCCGUCUUGAGCUGCUCGUUCUGAGCUCGCAGCUUUUCGAUAGCCGCUCUGCAUACAUUAUUUGCAAGCAUCAAGCCAGAUGUUUAAAGCAAAAGUAGCACCUGACACCUUACCUUUGCUUGUCCAGCACGGACUUGUGCCCAAGCGUGUCGCCUGCGCCCAGCGUCCCCUUUCCCAUCGAGCCCGCUGAGCCACCGCCACGAGCUGCAAGUAUGGUACGCACGCAAAGGUUUAGCUGGGAUGGCUUGGACAUCCAGAGCAGGGCUCCCCGCGACAUCGAAAUACUGUCGACUCACUGGCGUCUGCAGACGGCAUCCUUUAUGUCACUUGCUUAUAAUGCUUAAAAAGGUAAACGUCCUGGCUAAGGCAAAAUAGCUAAACGUGUGCUCUAAGCGGCCGCUGGUGAAAACUGGCUCACUGGGCCGUGUUCAUAUCUUGGUAUCAGCAGGUACUUCAAGGAAUUAAGAGAGUUGAUAAAGGACCGAAUGUGUAUGGCCAUCGAAGAAGACCGGGACCGCCGCGAAUGGGGCCCCAUCGUUUCUUUGCUCCGGAGUGCUCGUUUUUGCAGGCAUCAGGUGCAACCUCCUGGCAAGUGAAUUUGGUUUUUGUUUCUGACUAAUACUUGACGAUAGGCAUAACAAGACAAUCAACGGUGAGGCCGUCUCUGAGCCCAGCGCACUGACACGCCCUAGCGGUUGAUAAUUAGUUACGCUCAGUCUUCUCGACAUAUCAGCUCUUCAUUCGUGUCCUGUAGUCAACGCCACAAGGAACACGGGCCAGACUCCGGUCGGAGUACUUUUGCAAGCCGGAAGCCAAACCAAAGCUUCGCCUGCUUGCCAUUUUACCUGGCGUUCAUAAAAGCCUACUAAGGCCUGGCUCGAUAUCGGCGAGCAGCGUUGACUUGGGCCCGGCAGUCUCUCGUUGAGACUCGCUCGGCCGUUGCUUGCGUCCAAGAAGGCGGACGCCCGCGUGCUGGCCUUUACUUAUCAUUUUAGCUCAGCAGCCGUAGCAAGCAGUCGCUGAUAUGAAGGGAGAAGGGCAGACGGACAAGGACAAAGCAGCGGACGUCGCAAAGGAGGGUGCUGCCAAGGAGGAGGAGGCCAGCACUGCGCCGCUGCCAGACAAGGCAAGAUAUUGUGCCGCCGCAGCUCCACCCGGGCUCAGCCGCAUGCAGGCAGGCUGGCGCUCACCAGCUCUCGUAAUUUGGCGUCGCAGGUGCUUGUUGGGGGCUCCCCGGAGUAUUAUGUGGAGCGCAAGCUGGGCAAGGGCGGCUUCGGCCAGGUCUAUGUCGGCCGCAGAGUGUCGUCAACAAAGCAAAAGGACGGCCCCCAGGCGAACCAGGUCAGCAAGAUUGUUUGAACCCUGGUUUUGCUAGUCCACGAAACUAAUCAGCUCUUUGCGCGCAGGUGGCUUUAAAAUUUGAGCACCGCAGCAGUAAAGGCUGCAACUAUGGGCCCCCCUACGAGUGGUCCGUGUACAAGUAGGUGUCAACAAGCAGCCGGUUUUUUUCGCUGAACGGUCGAGCGUACGUAGCCCUUUGUGACCUCAAUUACUUCCUUGUGCUUGUAGCUCGCUCGGCGGGGUGCACGGCAUCCCUAAAGUGCACUACAAGGGGCGGCAAGGAGACUAUUACAUCAUGGUAAGUGCCCGGCAGGCCUGCCGGGUGUUUCGGCCAGGGCGAGCGCUCCCAAGUUUCGGGAAUGAAAGUUUACAUAUGGGGGCUUGAGUUUACAGGCGACAGCGUACAGCCUCGUGCUUAGGCUCUGGGGUUGGCACUGUCCCAGCGGGACCCGUAGCCGACUAACUCCGCCACGCAACUUGAUGGCGCAGGUCAUGGACAUGCUGGGGCCCAGCCUGUGGGACGUCUGGAACUCGUCGGGCCAGGUUAUGUCUCAGGAGAUGGUGGCGUGCAUCGCCGUGGAGGCGCUGUCCAUUCUGAAGGAGCUGCACGCAAAGGGGUGGGUAUUUGAGGCGUGUACGAAUCUGGGCAGUGGCGACGUGGACCAAGUCCAACAACUUGCACCGCACCCUACUUCUCUGCAGUAGUUGUAGCUUGACAUAUCGCAGAAACGUUGGUCCUCUGCGCUUUGCGAUGUAAUGUUUGUGCAACGUUACAGGUACGUGCAUGGUGACGUGAAGCCGGAGAACUUCCUGCUGGGGCAGCCCGGCACGCCAAACGAGAAGAAGCUGUACCUGGUGGACCUGGGCCUGGGUAAGAAGGGUGGCACCUGGACGCAGGAUGUUUAGCGGGGAGAGGGAGGAGAGCCGCAGAGGCGAAGGAGGGCAAGGCGGAGGGGGAGGGGAGGUGGUGGUCGUUACAUCGCAACUCCGCGUGUUCGAGCUGUCACGUUGACGCAGUAACCAAGUUCAUUAUUGUUCACAGCAACACGAUGGAAGGACGCCGUGUGCGGAACACACGUGGAGUACGACCAGCGGCCAGACGUGUUCAGGUUCGUGUCUGUUGGCGGGAAUUGAAACGGAGGUGAAGGAUCUCCGCCGAAACGUUGGGUGCGUCUGAUGGGCCGACUUGAAAGCCAGUCGGAAGCAGGGAACUGAAGUUCGUGCGUAUCACCCGUGUGGCUGCAGGGGGACAGUGCGUUACGCUAGCGUGCACGCGCACUUAGGGCGGACAGCCAGCCGGCGUGACGACCUGGAGUCGCUGGCGUACACGUUGCUGUUCCUGCUCAAGGGCCGGUUGCCGUGGCAGGGCUACCAGGUGGGUUCACUUCAGAUGGAGCGAAGUGGAUGCGCAGCCACAUGUGUGGGUUUGCAACAGCAUAGCCCGUGGUCCUAGUGCCUGACGAACGACUGUGUGUACGUGGCGUCGGGGACAGGGUGACAACAAGGGCUACCUGGUGUGCAAGAAGAAGAUGGCCACGUCCGCGGAGAUGCUUUGUCGGUACACGCCGCCGGCAUUCCGCCAGGUGCGUCGUACGCUGUUGUUGUUGAGGCCGUCAGUUUUAGAGCAGUUUCUGCAUAUCACGCUGCCCCGUAUGGUCCUGGCAAACGCACCCAACGACCUGGAUGCGGGCUGUGUCUUGCCUCGGUGCAGUUCACGGAGGCGGUGGUGAACCUGAAGUUUGAUGAGGAGCCCAAGUACGAGGCGUACAUGAAGCUGUUUGAGCCGCUGUGCGGCCCGGCACCGUCACGGCCGAUUCUGGUGGAGGGCGGGGCCAAGGUUAGUCCACUGGUUCGGGCGAGCGCUUCCACUUAACUGCUUACUGCCUGGUGAUCAACGUAUGUUAAGAACUUGCUUGCUGGCUGUGAUUGUCGCUCUCGUCACUUGUUGGCUCGCGCAUCGGGGUUUGCUUCAUAGGUCGGCCAGAAGCGCCAGCGCGAUGCGGACGAGCAGCUGGAGGACGCGGGGCCGAAAAAGAAGGUCCGCCUAGGCCUGCCGGCAACGCAAUGGAUCACAGUCUACAACGCGCACCGGCCAAUGAAGCAGCGGUGGGUGCCUGGCUCGGGAACCUGGCGAAGCGCGGGUCGUACACGUGCAGCUUGUUGUCGAUCGUUUUUACCCGAGGCUGUCGGACGCAGCGCCAUCAUGUAUUCAUCAUUGUUCUGUCCCCAACCCGCAGGUAUCACUACAACGUGGCCAACACGCGCGUGGAGCAGCACGUGGAGAAGGGCAACGACGACGGGUUGUACAUCUCGUCCGUGGCGUGCUGCCAGGAGCUGUGGGCACUCAUCAUGGACGCCGGCACCGGCUUCACGGCACAGGUGUACAACCUGAGCCAGCACUUCCUGCCCAAGGAGUGGAUCAUGGAGAAGUGGGAAGAGGGCUACUACAUCACCGCGAUGGCGGGCUCCAUGUCGGGCAGCAGCCUGGUGGUCAUGUCAAAGGGGACGCCCUACACGCAGCAGUCGUACAAGGUCAGCGACUCCUUCCCCUUCAAGUGGAUCAACAAGAAGUGGAAGGAGGGCUUUUACGUCACUUCCAUGGCCACGUCACACACGCGGUGAGUGCGCCAUAGCUGCUGAGCGAAAUGUUGCAGUACCGUAUUGAGCUAUCGUAUGCUUUGCUUGUGCUGGAACCUGCUCAUGACUUUGUUUUGUCACGCCUGUUCGGUCACGAAGUCUUUUGCCCUUCCCUCACCUUACCACAGGUGGGCUGUGGUGAUGUCGCGCAACGCCGGCUUCGCUGACCAGUGCGUGGAGCUCGACUUCCAGUAUCCGUCGGAGGGCAUCCACCGCCGAUGGGACGCCGGCUUCCGCAUCACCGCCUGCGCCGCGACACCGGACCAGUCAGCGUUCGUGCUCAGCGUGCCGCGCCGGCGGCCAAUGGAUGAGACGCAGGAGACGCUGCGCACGUCAGCAUUCCCAAGCUCGCACGUGAAGGAGAAGUGGGCGAAGAACCUGUACAUCGCGGGCAUUGCCUACGGCCGCACGGUCAGCUAGACGGCUGAGCUGUCAGUCCAGGAGCCUGCUGUUUGUCAGUGUGGCCUCAUGUUAUUCCUUGAAAUGCGCGGGCCGCCUUGCGGUUGAGAUGGCGAAUAAUGACGAUCUCUUACUCUUAGACAAAGACAGACAUGUGGGGUAUGUUUGGUUUCCAUUGUGCACCGACUUUUGGGGCUGUGUUAGCCCACUGACUGAUGACGCAGCGGGACUAUACGUGGGGCUGCGUCAAGCCCUUCACUGUGACUGGCAUCCACGAGUGCCUCACAUUGGGCAACUUAAAAGCGCCUGACCGUGUGUUACAGAACAGUCUGGCAAACCCUAAACAAAAGUGACGUCCCGGUAACGCCGGCGACCGGACAUGGUCAUUGCGACGUUGUGAGGGGAAGUGUUGAUGAUGGGCAUCGUUUCAUGUAGAGGAGUGUAUUGGUGGGUGUGAGCCAAGUGGGAGAGGGAAAGUGUUCAGGUACGUGUGUCUGAGACGGGGAAGACGGAGAGCAACAGGAGCAGAAUGAUACAAAUAGCCGGCACAGAGGGAACGUGCCAGAGCUGUGCAAGUGUGCCAGUGAGUAAUGCAGAUACAGUAUGAGGUAAAUUGGUACCUACUGCUUCAGUGCCUCUGGUGCCACCCUUGUCGCGAAGGCCCAUACCUGUGCAUCAGUUUCUCCGCACUCCAAACAUCAGCCGCGCCAUUCCCAAUUCCAACCCGCGGCGCUUCCUCACACUCCGGUUGUGUUUGUCUCGCACUCGCAAUCGACUCGCCCGCCACUCAUCCGAACACUCGGGCUCCCUUUUUGGGCUGAGCCCCCUGAGCGAAGCGAUCCAGGGGGGGCGAAGCCCCCCAGGAUUGCCCCUGUCCGUGCGUGCGUGCGUGUGUGCCUGUGUCGACAAAAAGUACCAUACUGGCACAAACCGCGAGUGCCACGUAUUAUUAAUUGCAAUUACCUAUUGUAGAAAAAUAGACGGCAGGGAAAACUCGGCCGGAGCGAGAAGCGACCUCGUGAGUCCAUGGACAUCUUGACUUUCUUCAGUUCGCGAGUAUAGCUCUCGGCCCCUAAAUAUCUUACAUCCAUGUAUCAAAACAUGUCGACGAACGCUUUGGGGCAAGAAUGUCGAAAUUGUUUGCAACAGCCAAACCAUGCGUCCCCGAGCCUUACAUGUGUCGCGGCCCGGGAUCCCGCGCCCGAGCCCGGCUAGCCGUUUGCGGUGCUUGAGUGGGAUGUGGGUGAGGUGCAUUUGGGAUAUCAUGGACCGUGAAGUGGCGUGGGUAAGGUGGCGUGGCGUGGCGGGGACAGGGCAUGUCGGUGCCUCGGCACGGCGUUGGCAUAGUGGCCAGUCCCGCUGGAUGGGCUUGCAAGGGUGCUGUUCAUGUCGCCGGUGCCCAUCGUCACAUCCCCUUGCGCUACAUGGGGCUCAGCCCAUUUUCCAGCUGUACAAAGCUGACACCCCUUGUCUGCCUUGCCUCGCCCUGUUUCUGCCCCUGCUUGUCAUACUGUCGCCCAGCCAUUGCUAUGCUGCAUUCUGUCUGCAAUUUCUCUGCGUUUGCGUCUGGUGCUCAUCCGUAAACGCUGGUCACCUUCCUGCAGGUGCGCUGCGACUCUGCUUCGCGAGCGUGGCUUAAGGGCUUGCAUCGUCGGGGAGCGGCAAGAAGCGGGCCCCAAUGCAGGCCCUCGGGCUAGAAAGAUUGGGCACCUCCGGGGGUGCAUUCUCGCCGCGUGGGGCUGCAUACGGUCUCCAAAUCUCGCCAACUCCCCCUUCCCAGGGGGGUUUGGGGGGGCGGAGCCCCCCCCCCCACCCCCAACGCUAAAAAUUAGGCGUUUUGGGGCCCAGUGCUCGUAUCUUAAGGAGGCAGGUGCGGCGCCAGUGACAGAUUUCCGGAAAAUGGCAUCUUUAAUUUUCAGAAACCCGCUGCCGCCGCAUCUUUCAUCCCCAGAAUUUUUCCGGGGGCUCCGCCCCCGACCUAUGCACGGUUCGUGUCAGGCCAGGGGAGUGGCCAGAGGCAUGCCAUGGCUGGUACUGAGCAUCCUGUGUAAUGCCAAACAAGGUUGUCCUAUUGCAGCGUGCCAAAUGCGGCUGCAGUUGCCCCCAGCCCACGUUUCGGCUCCGGCACAGCAAAAUAUUCCGCCGCACCGGAUGUGCCCCUGUCACAGCAUGCGGGGUGAGGUUGCUGUUGCCCCCAUCCCACGUUCCGGCUCUGGCACAGCAAAAUAUUCCGCCGCACCGCAUGUGCCGCUGUCACAGCAUGCGGGGUGAGGUUGCUGUUGCCCCCAGCCCACAUUUCGGCUCCGGCACAGCAAAGUAUUCCGCCGCACGGGAUGUGCCGCUGUUACAGCGUGCGUGCGGCGUGAGGUUGCUGUUACCACGUAAUCACUAUGUUGCUGACUUCGGCUGUUCGGCACCGGCUCCAUGGCUCCAUGGCAAAUCGUGGCCCAUCCCCACGCCAAACCCCAGCGCCCACACCCACGCUCAUCAUCCUCGCUCACCUACGGCAUGACUCCCCUGGCAGAAGGCUGGCCUAUCGUGGUGUGCCCACAUGGGUGCCAGCAGGACACGGCCGUAGAUAGAGUUUCCUGGGGAACCUUAGUCACCCUUGCCUUGGGCCCGGACAAGUUACAGAAACGCCCUAAAAUGUCUUCUGCGAAUCUCAGAAAGACCCCUCCAAACCUGAAAAUUUCUUCCGCCGGAGGCGUUUUGGGGCAAAUUUCUGUCGAAAAGGAAGAUACGAGCACUGUUGGGGCCCCUGGAUGCUGUGGGCGAGAACGUGGUGAGGGCCCUUCUCGCCUGCGGCGGCGGCCCACCCCUGGAAGAUGCAAGCCCUGGUGGCGUUGCGGUGUGUCUGUGUGGUGCUGUCGCCUGGCCGGGCGCCCGGACCGUGAGGAAUGUGCGUCAGCAAACUUCCGUACAGCCAGCAACUUGUCGGUACAGUAACUCCGGCGUUCGACCAGUCGCGCGCUCAUGCACCGCCGUCAAAUUGUUUGCCAUCUGCUGCACCCCACGGGACUUCACCAACCUGCCUUAAGACUGUCCCAUCGCACACCUAACUCGUCGGGCUGGGCAAAUUGCGGGAAUUAUGGGGUGAUCCAGAGGCCGUUAUUAUGCUGAAAUGGGGUUGGGGGAACUUGCGCGGCCGAAGGCCGCGCAAAUUGCGCAGAAGUUAGGCGCGUACCCAGCGAGUACGAGUACCCACCUUGCUGCCCCUGUCGCCCCACGCCCAGCUUGGGUCAAUUAUGCAGUGGAUAGGAGCGGUGGCCCACGAUACAGCAGCCACUGCAGCUCAUAAUUUAAUUUAUUAUUUACGCAGUGCGUAGACAGGGGGCAGGGGAGCGAGGGCGAGGGCAAGGGGUCCAGCGGCGUGGUGUGGCGGCGACCAGCAGCCACCUUUACCACGCUGCAGGAGAUGUAUCUGUCCGGCCCAACACUGCUAUCCUUGCCCGGUAGGGCCACACAUGAGUGUCCGAGGCAGAGGAGGUGUAGCGCCCACGCCCAGCAAGUAGAAGCAUGGCAGGCCGGGCUACCUGACCGCGUGUCGUGCCCACGGCUGCCCCCAGCAGUUGUGACCCCGGCGGAGCACGCCGUGCCCUCCUUACCAACGUCAAAAAUCAAGCGUUUUGUGCCAGGGAUUUCCAAAAUUUUUCCCGGGGGCUACGCCCCCGGAACCCCCCAUAGUUAAUGGAAAACAACACAGCAGUAUUAACAUCAGUGUUUCGUGCCGCGAGCACUUGAAAACGAUACCACAUUGGCAAUAAUUCAAUAGUGCGCUGCCGAUCCAUAGAGCGAAGCCUUGUCGGCGAAGAACGCAACUUGGCAAAUUUGUGCAGCCGCGCAUUCCACGGCUUUCAGCCCCAGAUACCGCCUACUACCAUCUCUAUAUUGACUCCUAAGUUUGCUGCAACCUUGCUUGGGGUCAUUAGAGCGCUACAAAGGGAUUUGACGGUCGUGCUGGCCGAACUUGUGCCGCGGACAGGCUCUAACACUGACAACAAGUAAAGAAGCGUCCGGUCGCAUAAAUGUAAUUAUGCUGGGCGUCCAAGACAGCCUAACAAAGUUGCGCACUAAUUCCCGAAUUAGCGCAAAUUGCCAUAGUCGCGAAUUCACCCAUGCCAUGGCCCCUACCCCGGGCGUGGGCAAAUUGGCGUGCCCCUACCCCGGCGUGAGCCGUUCAUCGACCCUGAUAUAUGCUGGAUAACCCAACCGUGUUCCAAACGUGCAUCUUAACACACGUUCGCUGGCUACGUGCGUCCAACCAAUAUUUGGCUAGCAGACAGUGGCGCACCCCGACACAAUGCAAGCCACUAGCUCGGAAUGUGCCUAAUUGCCCGCCUACCCCAAUUUGGCCCACUUGCCCGUGCGGCUGGCCCGCACGGAUUCAGAGCCUGCCUGAUUUAAUAUUGCAUGGUUAUAUUAUAUAAGGAUUAUCCAAGGACUGGGAGGCCAGUAAGAGGCCGAUUCCCGAGCAGUCCCCGAAAACGGCCCUGUGCGCCCGCCCGAUUAUUUGGCCCACUCGCCAGAGCCCACGCCCUGGUCUUCAAAAGCCUGCCUGACCGCCCAGUUCUCUGCAUAUAUAUUAUCAUUUACAUGUAAGUGAUAGCUUAGCAAGCUUAAAUGGGUAAACUAGGGCUGGCCCUGCCGGGCUCGGUGCGGCGGGUGCCACUCCGGCAAGUGCCACUGCACUGCCUGGGGACUGCAUGAUUCCAGGCCCCUAUAGCAUCGAAAAAGCAUCAUGUGACAUACGUAAAGGUCUCUGGACGGUUUCUGGACUUAAAUUUUAGCGAAAACAGAAGUCAAAAUGUCAAAUGUCGCGCUCGCUAGGACCCAGCCAAUUCGCCUCGAAGCUAUCUAGCUUACAUCUAAGUGUGCAGAUAACUCGACAGCAUGAAAUCCAGGAACAAAAGACCGCCUAAGCGAGAUAUGGCAUGUGGAGCAGACGGACUGCAGGUUGCCUGGUCUGCGCAUUUAAUAUCUUAUGAUGUUUGUCCUUUAGUGAUUUGUGCAAGCCAGAAUGCGCCUGCAGACGACAAACAAAACAACAUGCUGAGCAUUUAAGGCGCAAUGUGCAUCCAGAACACUCCCAAUCCUGCCCGGACGGUUGCAACAAUCCUCAUAUGACAUCUAUAGGGUAUCGAAAUCGGCAAAUCGCCAGCAGGGAUGACCAAAACGCCUCGCGGCCCGGUGGGCCAAUUUGGGGUCGCCCCUCAGUUUUCCCCCCAGAACCCGGCCCCCAGAAUCCACUCGCCCACCGCGCCCUUUUGACCCCCAACCCGUGCAAUAAUCUUAUAUAGUGCUUACAUCAAUAUUUAGGCAAGCGUGGGCGCCUAGGAAGCCCUGUAGCGGUCUGGGCCAAAAGUGGGCCAAAUAUGGCACAUUCCGAGCUAGGGCGCGUGUUGACGCAUCUCAAAGUGCCCGUAACCCAAAACAUGCGGCACGUAAGCAGGCACAGAAGCCACACCAAGGCAAGUAGUACACAUGGCCCAGUAUCUUCUGCGCUAGCUGGCGGAUUUGCCCUUCAGCACCUGCGCAAAUGAGUACCAGACGCCACCCGCCAUGUUCAUGGCCAUGCCCGCAACAUUUACAAUGUGGAACUUGACGCCCCCCAACAGGAAGAACCCCAGCACACUGCUCACGACGCCCUUGAGCACGCCCACCACUGAGGUCGUCAGCGCGCUGUUUAGCUGCGUGCACAGAAUGACCAUACCCGUCAGCAGGCCCUCCAUCACGGCCGUCACCACGAGCCAUGUCAUGAACCCCACGUAGCCCAUGCUCUCAUGCAGCUCUUUCAGCAGCGUAGGGGCGGCCGCGGCGUCGCCUGAUAUGAGCGACGCAACAAUCAGCGGCACCGUGGCGAUGACGCAAAUGCUGUAGAGCAGCUCGAUAGGUCCCAGCGGACCUUUGCUUCCGCCGUCUUCUUCGAACCCUGGAGGUCCCGAUGCGACGUUCGUCAUGUGUGCCAGGGGGCUUGCGCGUCCGUGCGCAUGGUGGCAGGCAGGCCCGUGUGUGUGCGGCGUACUGUGCAGAUGUGCAUUGGCAUGCAGCUCCACGCCCGUGCUGUGUGCGACGUCCGCCUCAAACAAUAGCCCACCUGCGCCGUGAUGGUGAUGAUGCGACUGCGUGUGCCCGUGCGAGCCCCCGGCCUCCGCGCUAUCAACGUCAGAGCCUGGGCCUCCUGCUGACGCCACCUCCCGCUGUUUGUGCGCCCGAGCAGUAUGCGCCGGCCCAUGUGCACUGCCGCUGCGGCUACUGCUAGUACUACCACCACUACCAAGGCGCUCCGCAAGUAGGAUAUAGGUGGCUUGCAUAAGCGCGCACAACGCCGUUAGGGAGUAGCCCUGUUACAAGCAACCAUUGGGAUCAUACUGUGAGGCCAGGUGCAAGGUGUCAACUCCACAUAAGCAACAAUAUUGCCAUACAAUGUACUACAGUUCAUGGCACUGCCCAACCACAACUUACGUUCCCAUCGAAGGAAAGAUCCCCAGCACCAGCUACCAGGCAGCCACCUGAAGGUGUGCCGCCACAACAGUUCCUGGUGUUAGGGUACUUGCACGCUGGGACGCCCGAAUAGCCCAACCGCCUAAGCGAUGCCACAGCUCUUCAUGCUUACCGACAAUCAGCAGCACAGACAGCGUUGUAGCCAUGUCCGGCAUGCGCUGGUCCAUGACCCCCUGCGGCAUCGUGCAAAACCAGCGGUAAAGCAAUUGUGAAGACACAUGGUGCACAUGCGCUUUGAUAGCGAGGGGUGAGGGGCGAUCACGAUGGGGCGAGGGGCGAUGCGUGAGGGGCUGCUUAGUAGUAAGUAGCCCAGACCCCGUCGCUAACACCCACCUUCAUCACCAGUACAAUAACUGGUGUCAAGCGCUUAAGCGUGUUGUACAUGGGCACCGACAAGAACGCCCUGCACGUGACAAGGACACGAUGUUCAGUAGCUUGAGUGGGAGUGCCUGGUAACAACGCCUACCUACUGGAAACCCUUCACGCCCACAACAAUGGUUCAUCACACGGCAGUCCAAGUGCAUAUCUUACAGCGAGUAAAGCACGAGCACAGCGUGGGCUGCGUAGCAGAUUGUGAGGGGCAACAGCAUCCACACCCGAAUCUUGCCCAGGCGAGGUACGGUCGUGAAGCCCAACGCAGCCGCCACACGCAGUAGGACCAUGGCCGUCACCGUUUGCAUGAGCAAAAUGGCCGUGGGCAGUGGGAACACCAGCACCGCGUAUUUAUUCACGAAGUUUGCCGCCACAGCCACAGCCCCAUCUGCACAAAAGGGAGUGGGGCAGUUGCCAGCAAGGUAAGGGGCUUUCGGGUGCCGCGCCCUGUCGGGACCUCGUCAGGAUGCGAGUCCCAACCCAGAAGUAAUCUGCGCGCUUGCUUCCCCUUAUGCGGUAGUAUGCUUGUGAAAGCGAUAAACUGGUUGACGAUGACAUGACAUCUUUGCUUCACAAGCCGCGUCCAAGGGUGAAAGUAAAUCAGAUCAUAUUUGUCUGCAACACUUACAUAUGACUGCGACCAGGAGACCGAGCCAUAAUCGCGAGUUCAUUUCUGUCGCGGAAGCUGCUGCAGCUGACCCGUCCCUAUUCCAUAACGCAGAACUAGGGCUUGAUGUCAACAUUGAAGUACUAGUGUUGUUGUAACGACUGUAAUGUCACGGCUGUCACGGCUGUUGCAGCCAUUUGCGACAGUCGCCCUCAAGCGUUGUAGCCGGUCAUUGUUGCUAGCGCAGAUUAUUUUAUGUCGGCGAAAAGGACAAAUAGUCUGGCCGACCGGGGCCGCGCAGGUAGACGGCUCCAUGGUUUCCCUACUCCCCCCCCAUGCCACGUCCUGUCCAGGCUGGCAAGGGGGGGGGGGGGGGCGGGUAACUCCGCCGGAAUUUAUCCCCAUGAUUCAAAUGGAAAGAGCUUAGAGGGAGCGUUUAGAAUUUGCUUUCAGAGUUUCAAUCAGGGUAGUUGUCGCAAAGUUAUGGGCUCCCAAAGUUCAGUGUCGGUCCUCGGUCUUCUGUGUCCCAAGGUUUCGUCACGCAGCGUGUGGACUGCUAGGUUUCGUCUCGCGCUCAGAAUGCCCAUCUAAACGCUCCGCCCAAUAGCACAAGCACUAGCACACACAAGCAAGCACAUACUGGAGUAUUUGCAGAACGUUUGGCCCCUGGAAUGCGGCGGCUUGUCCGUCUGCAUCGGCAUCCAAGUCACGCAGAGCUCAGCAGAGCUCCACCUGAGCGUCUCUCACUGAUGUCAUGGAGACUAUGUGAGCUGACGCUGAUCCGUAACGGCCAAGGCUUGGUGUGGGUCGUGACGACAAGGCUGCCGGCAAUCAAUGCUGGCGACCACGUCACAUCGAUCCCGGGAUGCUUCACAAGAUCCCGGGAGAAACGUGACCCAUCUCUUCCGGCACACAAUUCCGAACAUCGUAUGGACGAGCGCAAAUGCAAGCUUAAGCAUACGCCCUGUUAGAGUGUUAGUCCCGCAGUAGGGUCAGUGAUCGGCCAUGGACACAUGGACAUGUGUGGCAUGGCUGCCGGUCAAGAACUUGCCUCCCGCUGAACUGGAGGUAUACCAUUGUAGAGCUCGCCGAGAGAAGUCGAUUGACACCGACCUGGCUAGAAACGAAAGGGGUUUGAGUGGGUUUUGAGGGGGUGCACGGUGGGUAGGGGCGGUCGGUCGGUCCGGAUGGGGGCUCGGGAGGUUUUGGGUCAUGGCCUCAUGGGGUCCAAAAUCAUUGUUUCCCCCCCCCCUUGAAUGAGCUUCCCUAAACCUACCCCACGCUGUCAGCCUGCUGCAAUGUUUGACAUGGUUCGGUUGUCAAUUUGUCAUAGGGCUGGCAUCGUCCUGUGGCAGACACGCGGCCGGUUGGAUGCCCCGCUGAUGCCCACCUGCCGUCGGCCCAAACCAGGGCUCGCAUCUUUUAGGGGUAGGCCGCCGCCGCUGGCGAGACGGGCCCUGACCACGUUCUCGCCCACGGCAUCCAGGGGCCCCCAAACACCUAGCUUUUAGUGUUUGGGGGGACUCCGCUCCUUAACCCCCCCCCUUGCAGCGCGACUGUUUCCUUACGGGAUUGGUUCAAAGUUACCCCCCCCCGGGGAAGGGGUAGUUGGCGAGAUUCAGGGACCGUAAUCACCGUAUACAGCCUCACGCGGCGAGAAUGCACCCCGGUAAUGCCCAAUCUUGUUCGCUUAAGAGGCUGCAUUGGGACCCGUACCUUGCUGCUCCCCGAAGACGCAAGCCCUAGCACAAACCUGGCGUCCUGACCAAGGUCCUGACUCCCCCGCCCCAACGUUAUACCGUAAACAGGGUGUCUCCAGGUUGGUUCUGCGUGGCGCGGAAUAUUCCGUUGCCUCCGGCACCCACCUGGCAGAGUCCGUUAGCCCAGCCAGCACAUCCGGAUGCCUCCUCACAGUCUGCGACCGGCGGCUCAUGCAGUGCUCGUAUCUUAAGAAGGCAGGUGCGGCGCCAGUGACAGAUUUCCGAAAUAGGGCAUCUUUAAUUUUCAGAAAACCGCUGCCGCCGCAUCUUUCAUCCAAAAAUUUUCCGGGGGCUCCGCCCCCGACCUAUGCACGGUUCGUGUCAAGCCAGGGGGGUGGCAGGCCGUGUCAGCAAUCUCUCAAUCUCCCAUUCGUGCCGUGCAUCCAUCUCAAAACAGAAACUCGCUCCACACAAACACACAGCUUUGUACACAUGGCUGGUACUGGGCAUCUGGUGCAAUGGCAAACAAGCUUGUCCUGUUGCAGCGUGCCAAAUGCGGCUGCAGUUGCCCCCAGCCCACAUUCCGGCUCCGGCACAGCAAAAUAUUCCGCCGCACCGCAUGUGCCGCUGUCACAGCGUGCAGGGUGAGGUUGCUGUUGCCCUCAGCCCACGUUUCGGCUCCGGCACAGCAAAAUAUUCCACCGCACGGGAUGUGCCCCUGUUACAGCGUGCGGUCUGUUGCCUUCGUUGCUGAAAAAGCACCGGCUCUAUGGCUCCAUGGCACAACGUGGCCCAUCCCCACGCCAAACCCCAGCGCCCUCUCCCACGCUCAUACAUCACGCUCACCCACCCACGUCAUGACUCCCCUAGUGGAAGGCUGCCCUAUCUUGGUGUGCCCCCACGGUGCCAGCAGGACACGGCCGUAGAUAGAGUUUCCUGGGGAACCUCAGUCACCCUUGCCUUGGGCCCGGACAAGUUACAGAAGCGCCCUAAAAUGUCUUCUGCGAAUCUCAGAAAGACCCCUCAAAACCUGAAGCGUUUCCACAGAUUUUUGGCGGCAAGAAUAAAAAAAUUCUUCCGCCGGAGGCAUUUUGGAGCAAAUUUCUGUCGAAAAGAAGGAAGAUACGAGCACUGGGCUCAUGUCAGCCUCAGCGUCCGUUUUGGAGGUAACAUGUGGACUCGCAUUUUGCGCUACUGACUGGCUGGUUUCUCCCCUUGCUUGCUGGCUCCGACGACCUCCUCUGGCAUCGUGUGUACCGUAACUCGUUUCCUUAGAGCAUCUUCGAUAAACAGGCCCCGCAGCAUGCCCGGGCUUCCUUAGUUUAGACCCGCUGUGGAGGCAAUUGAACCCAUUGCACAGUCCGUAGUACGUACUGGCGCGUACUAGUACGUAUUCUUGAAUGGUUACACGUGGGAAAACACGCUGUGCAAGGAACAGGUCCGAACAUCACGGGCAUCCCAAGACAUGCUGGGCUGUCAGCGCGUAUUCAAAUGCAAAGGCUUUUGGAUAGGGGUAAAACUCUGCCCUCAAACUCGAACUCACACGUACUGCAACCGGCCGCCCGCCGUGUUACAGUGCCCUCCACGGGUGUGACAUGCCCCCAUGGUGUACUAGGGCAAAGAUGGCUAGUCACCACAUCGCGUCGUUGCCAUAACCAUAUGAACGAUCAAUUGCAUUCAUAACUGGCUUGCGCACGAACCAACUGCAACAUUUACACUAGCCUGUGUAGAACUGUGUCUAAUUCCCCCCAAGCACAUGAAUCCUUGCACACAUCCACACAUAGCCAGGCGGCUGGCGGUCUACACUCAGUAAGUCAUGCGCCCCUCGCCACAAAUCAAUGACAAGAAGGAAUCUAAUGCAGCUCCACAAUAAAUUGUAUAUGCCGUGAGCUAAGCCCCACAACAGAAGGCACGAGACUAUUGGUGUCACUGUCCUGGUCGAAGGUCACAGGGAUCAACACGAAUCGGUUGCGGGUCACACACGAGGAAGGUUGCAAUCGGUACGUGCUAGCGUCCCCGAAUCACAGGGUGCCGCGGCUAAGGACUGUUGAACCACAGACUAUUGCACAACUUUCCCCACAGUCGUCAGAGCCCUACCAUUAGAGGCACGUUCUGUCUCGCAACCGAAACAAGGUCACAGUCAAGGCCCGCUUCAAUACAUACUGCACAUGCUGUAACCAUUUAUUUCUGCUGUCCACACAGCGCCCACUCCCACCCAAUAAUCAAUCGUGCCAAGUGCAAACCCCCGCGCACCGCACGCAUCAGUUCAGUGGCGCACCGCCACCGUGCUCAUAGCCUCCAGCUCGCCCAGCACGUGUCGCAUGUCGGGCCGGUCCGCCGGGCGGUACGCCAUGCAAGCCUCCAGCAGCGUCGCCAGGCGGGGCGGGCACACGGCCAGGUCGGCGGGCACGGGCAGGCGCAUGCGGUGCACGGCCACACGGUAAAUGAUGGCCACGUUGGAAUCGCCACUCCAGGGGUGCUCCUGAGUGAUCAUUUCUGUGGAAGGGUAGCGGGUGGGCGCAGCAGGUCAGAAAUGCUUGUCCCAUAGAGGCUGACCAUUGCACGAAUUUCAACUGUGCACUUUGAAACGCUCAGCACCCACAUUCAAGUGCAUGGACUUGUAGCCGCACUGUACUGGUGCUUACCCCAGAGGAGCACGCCGAAGGAGUAGACAUCGCACUUCGAAGACAAACGGCCAAUGGCAGGGUCAAAGCCCUCGGGCGCGGUGUAAGCGACGCUGCCCGCGUCUGGCUGCUGCGUGCUGAUGUAGGGCUUGAGGUGGUAGCGCGCCAGCCCGAAGUCACUAAUCUUGGCAGUGCCGGUGGCAUCAAGCAGGAUGUUGGCCGGUUUCACUGCAUGCAGGCAGGGGCGAUGGGCAGACUUCAUCAUCACGAGUUCCACCCAUGUCAUACUUUGCUAAUCGUGACCACAGUGCAACACAAGUGCACGGAACAAGGUGCGCAAGCGGGACAAGCUUCAGGCUCACAAUCGCGGUGCACGAUGGCGGGGUGCAGGUAGCGCAGGCCGCGCGCCACGUCCGUGGCAAUCCGCAGCACCUCGCUGAGUGGCAGGCGGCUGUUGGCGCCAUGGAUGACAUUGUGCAGGCAGCGCGGCAGCAACUCCAUCACCAAAAAGGGCCGCCCGGCGUGCGCGCAGCCGCCCAGCACGCGCACGAUAUUUUGGUGCUGCGAUGAGGGGAAAAGGCGACAUCUCUAAUCUAGCAUUCGUGCAGAUUCACAGGCGAACUGGCCCGCCCUACACGGUACGCAUAGCUUCCCGGCGACUUGCAGCACAAGCAGGUCAUGCGCUCACCCGCAGUGAUGCCAGGAUGGCGAUCUCUUGCCGGAACGACUCCACUUCCUUGUCCUUGUACGGCAGUGCGCCGCCAGGCCCACCCGGCGAGCCACCCGGCAUGGGCUGCUGCAGGUGCAGAUGGUGCAGCACCUUGAUCGCCACGGGCUGGUCCCGGAAACGGCCACGGUACACUGAGCCGAACGCGCCGGCGCCCUGUGGAUACACAGUAGCACACACAGCUUUGAUCAGGUCUACUCAUGCCUUGCUGUGAAGCCCAAGCCUGGUCGGCAGCCCGCAGGCACACAAUACGGCCAUAUGCAGACAGGAGGCUUACCAGCAGCCCGUCGGCCUGCAGCUUGAGGUCGCGCGGGCUGAUGUCCAGGUCCAAGUGGGGGUCAGCGGGGGCCGGCAGCAGCACAGCUUGCCCGCUGCUGCCAGCUGCCCCGGCCGUGGUCGCUGUCGCUGCACUCGCGCUUGUGUCCGCUGCCGCUGGUAUUCCGCGCGAGCGCGUCGGCGGUAGUGGUGGCAAAGCGCUGUCGUGGGUGGGUGACAAACCGGCGACCCCGCCUGUUUUGGCAGGCGGGUGGCCAGCGGCGCCCUCUGCAUCUGACAAGACCGCUACUGCACCCGCCGUGCCUUGCGACGACCGCAUCGACAGCGUCGUGCCGUUACCCGAUAUGCUGCCUGAUUCUAACCCCGAGGGUGCCCCUGAGGCGGAGUCCGACACCGGCUGCGACCCACUGCUGUAGUUGCGUCGGCCGGCACUGCUGUGAUUCACGUUUGCCAGCCCGUCCUCCCGCUGCUCUGGGGCGCCAUCGCCGCCGCUGACUACGUCGUGCAGCGCUGCCGAGCCACACGCCAGGCCGCUCAGCGCUGCUGCCACACCGCGGCCGAGGCCCUCCGUGUAUGUGCGCCACCGCUGCAGGCGCGCAACCGACGAUGCCUGAGAGCCGCCGUGCGCCACCGUUGGCAGACCACUGAGUGCGCUUGACCGCAUACCUAAGUCGCCGCUCGGCGUUGCUCUGGAGAGCCGCGCUAUGUUCAUGGCCAGCUGCACAGACAGCCGCUCAAGCGUUGCGGUUGGCGCGGCGGCAGCAGGGACCGGCCGCUGCGGCGUCUGCGGCUCGGAGGCUGCGUGCCGCGGCGGGCUGGGCGGCGCGCCACCGCUGCUGGUAGGUGGCGUGGCCAAGUAGGCGCCAGUGAGCGGCGACUGCAUAAACAGGUCCUGCAGCGUCAGCUCGCAAGGCGCUUCACGACGGCGCAUGGAAGAUGACGCCGGGUGCCGGGCCGGUGAGGGCGCAAAGGCGCUGGUAGCAGGUGGUACGGACCCGGGUGUGCCGGGGGAGCCGCUGGAAAAGGCCCGAGACGCCAUCGGUUGCACCGGUCCAACCAAAGCAGCGGGCUGUGGGCAGCCGCUCCCCGCGCUAACGCCGCCCACUCUGGGUGUACGCUGGAACGGCGUCGCGGCGACACCUGUGGGCUGCCGGGAAGCGCUAGCUGCAGCGCCGUGUAGCGCGCCGGGUGAAAGUGGCGGGAGGCUGGACGGGACGGCGCUGAGCCCGUUUGCUGCAAGCAGGCCAGCUGCAGAUGGUGCGGCGCUGGUUGCGUUUGACAGGCAGAUGUUCUGCGCCGCUUCCCGGAACACAUCCAUUACACCGAAGCUGCUCGCGCCCGGGGCCCUGUCCCCACCGCAACCCUCCAGCGCCGCAGCCGCGGCCGCUAGCGUGUCCCCUGCAACGCCUCCCUCCACAGCUGCUGCCUCUUGCUGCUGCCACACAGGGGCAGGCAGCGCACGAUGUGGCGAUGCGCGAAUCACAGCCACGCUGUCGCCCUCAGGCAACAGCACUGACACGCGGUGCGGGUCAAGCCCAGCCUCGCCGCCGCCCGGGUAUAGCACCACCCACUGCGGCGAGGCCACACCACCGCUAGCCGCCGCCUCCGUGCCAAUGCUGGUGGUACCCCCCAGCGCCACGCCCGUGCCCGCCACGGACACCUGCGAUUCCAGCGAGGACUGGUAGGCCAGCAGUCCGCCGUCGGCCCGCUUCGUGCUCAGCUGCUUCUUCUGCGCCUGCUGCAGCAGCUGCUCCACGUGCUGCUUGUCCUGCUGCUGCAGCGGGUGUGCCAGUUGGUGGUAGGUGCUGUCACCGUCCGUAAGCGAGAUGCCGACCCAGGCGGUGUCAGCAGCGGCACCGGACUCGUGCUGCGCCUGGUACCCCUCUGAGCUUGCCGGUGCGGCAGGCGCUGGACCAGGGCCCGGCGCGGGGCCGCUCUUGUUGGCGCCAGCUCCGCCAAGGCUGCGGCGGCGGUACAGGACAAACACUACGACCAGCGUAGACACGAACGCCGCCGAAGCUAGCGCCGCUAUGACCACGAUGGCACCCGUUGAUAAAUUUGCAGAGGCUACGGGCGGGCAGAAGGAAUAGGUAAAGUUGUGUCAGGACGGAAACCAGAAUGGUAGUAACAGGAUACUGGGAUCAACGUAACAUUUCGCGCAAAGCACGCUAAACUUACUGUAAGAGAUGCUAGGAGGCGGCGGUGGGAACCACUCUUGGCCGUUCUGGACGCGCCCAGGUGGCGGCCGCGGAUGGGUGCUUACGUGAUCCUCAUAGCCGGGAAACGGCGGGGGCGGUGGAGGCGGAGGCGGUGGUGGAGGCGGGGGUGAAGGGGAGCGCGGUGGACUCGGCGGUUGCGGCGGCGGCGCCAGCUCAAUUAUCAGCCCCGGCGGCGGCGCGCCUGGCGGGCUGGGCGGCGUGAAGGGUCCCGGGGGUGGGUGCACUGGCGGCGGCAGUGCCGGACCGCCCGGUGGCGGCGCGUUGGGAGGCACUGGUGCUGGCGGGGGCCGGCAGCACAGCAGCACCCUGGGCACCACCUUGAGCCCAUCCUGCUCCAGCAGCGCUGUAUACACCGCAGGUAGCGCAUUGCUGCAGCCGUACGCCUCCUCCCGGUGCACCAUGCCGGUAGUGCUCAGCAGCACCGCCCUCACCUCCGUGUUGCAGGGCACGGCACCCAGGCUGGCAAACACCUCCACGCUGCUGGGCAGCGCCGCCUGCAUGCGCCGAAAUGACCGGCUGUACAGCCGUGCCGGCCACGUCGCUGUCACGAUCAUGUACGGAACCGCAAGUACCAGAUCCGUGCUGUUUGCGCCUGUGCCGUUCACUGCCAGGGACUCGUUCGAGGCGGUGUACGCACUAGGCAGUGGCGCAGCGGAGCCGUAGCGUGGCAUAGGCGUGGUGCUGCCUGAGGAGGAGAGCUCGUUGCUGGCGUAGCAGCCGUACUUGCCGUUCAGCAGGCCAUACGGCUGCGCCAGCGUCUCGCACGCCGCCAGCAGCUUGGCGCAGAGCAGGCGCUGCGGGUCUGCCAUUACGAAGAGAGUUAGCUGCGGCGCGCCCGGCACUGCUGCUGGUGGCGGGUAGCGGCGCGUCGGCGGCCGAGGCGGGCGGGUGGGGAGCUGUGGAUGCGGCUGCGGCGAGGGUGGUUCCGGCGAGGGCGGGUCCGGCAGCGCGCGCCACGGCGGAAGCACCGGCGGCGGCCGUGGUGGCGUGUGGCGUUUGGGCGGCCGCGGCACGUUGGUGGCGCAGCACAUGGCCGGCAGCACCAGCGACGCCACGCUGCCCGGCACUGACAGCGUGCCGUCGCAGCUGAAGGUGUACACAGUGGCGGUGUCCUGGUCCUCCGUCAGCGUGGUGGCCAGGAGUGCACCGCCGCAUGGCAUGCCCGCCACCUGCAUGAAGGUGCUCACGUCUGCGCCCGUGUCCGUACCAAGGCUCGCAAUCGCACGCUGCGCCAUUUCGAGUGACGGCAGGACAGCGGACAGUACGAAAGACGACAGCGACGGCGGACUGGGCGCAGUCAGCGAUAGCGGCAGCGACGGCGGAGAUAGCUGCUGCAGUCCGGGGUCGCUCAGGUCCUCGCUUCCGUCUGUCAACACCUCCCGGCCGACGUAGCAGAGCUGGUUGCGAGAGAAUAUGUUGCCGCUGUCCAGCAGCUCCAGGAACAUCGGCUGCAGCUCCGCGCAGGAGCGUAUGCCGGUCAGCCCCCGCAGCUGCAUGAUGGUCUCUGGCGUCUUUGCAACAUCCGAGACUGACUGCGGCGGUGGCGCUGACAGGGGCCAGCCCCCUCCCGGAGGCGGGGACGCCGCCGGCUGGGCCCAAGCGGCGUCAAGCAAGCUCUGCGAGGUGUUAGGGCCAGCGAAUGGUGCACAAGAGCUCUCGCCUCGCAGAUCAAAUCAGCUGUUGUUCAAUUCGAAUUACUAAUUCUUAACACAACUCCCGUUGCAAAAGCCCACGCAGCUGACGGUUUGGCAUGCCCCGGCUGUCACCCGUUGCCUGUUCCCAGGAGCCUCAUCCCAGGCUGAAUAUGUGACGAGAGUUAACGUGCUAAGCUCGCGGCAGGCAGUCGUGCGGAGAAAGAGACCAGUCAGAGCUGACCGCAGCCCGGAAAACUUACCCCAGCGAGCAGAAGUAGCAACAAAGCACUUCGUAGAACUUUACAUAUAAAGCUCAUGACGAUGCCGUGGAUGGGGCACCGUCUUAGCGCUCAGCUCCUCAGGCCGGUUUCACCGAGCUACAGGCAUUCUGUCGCCGCGCCUCGUAUGUGCCGCCUCUCACGCGCGACUUAAUUGUUACAGCUUAUAUGAGCUAUUUGUAGUCAAACGUAAUUGACUCGCGUGGGAAUACGUGUGGUCUUUGCACAACUGGCCCUGCUGGUGACGGGCGCAAGCAACAACCCGGCUCCCUACAGUGUCGAUGAAAUUCAGCGUUAAGUGGAGAUAGUUCAUCCACUGAUAGCAUUUAAUUUGAAGGGUUGCGGUGGGCGAGACUCUGUUUCCAGUCUCGAGCCACCAUGGGGCGCCCAUCCCAAGGGGAACUCAGAGCGGUCGCUCAACACUCUGCCCGUCGCCCCACAACACUCUCUCUUCUUCAACACGCAUCAAAAUGGGUAAGCAUAUGGAUUGAAAUAUUUUUCUGUGUUGUCGCUGAGUAUACGUUCGCUUGUUUCUUGCAGGCAAGGUCCACGGUUCCCUCGCCCGUGCCGGUAAGGUGCGCGGCCAGACCCCCAAGGUCCCCAAGCAGGAGAAGAAGAAGCGCCCGCGGGGCCGUGCCAUGAAGCGCAUGAAGUACAACCGCCGCUUCGUCAACGUCGGUGAGCGCACAUUUCUGCAGCCGACCGGUGAUUUGCGCAGCGGAAGCCGCCUAUUUGGAGGCUGGGAUCAGCAGCAGCGGCGAUGACUGCAUUUAGUGGCGCUGGGCUCGCGAGGAGACCACAAAGGCGGACGUGCAUCUUGCCGCCGGCAGGCUGGCAAGCAGUCGUGUUAGCAGGCGGCGGUGUGAGCCAUUGUCCAGGAAUUGUUUGGAUUGGCAGGCUGCAAAUUCUGCGGACUUCUUUGGCAGCUGCGCAGACUUUCAGCCAGGGCUGGAUGGCCAAAGUCGGAGCCACUGUCUUCACCAAACAUUGUCUUUCUUCUGUCUGACUCAUGUUCUGCCCUUGCAAUUGCAGUGGUGGGCUUCGGCAAGAAGCGCGGUCCCAACUCCAACCCCGCCUAAGCGGACGCGGCCAGUUGUAGAGGCGACACUCUGGCGUAUCGGCGUGGCAGCUAUGGGCUCUACAGGACUUAUUAGCGCCUUGUCGUGGAGUUCAGAGUAGCCCUGCAGCCGCUGCAUCGGCGGCGGUUCUGGCCUCGCGGGGCGCACAGCAGAGCAGGAGCGGCGUAGCAUUUGGAGAUUGCGGGGAGCGACAAGCAGGAGCUUUAGUCGUGGUGAAGAGGGCCUGACAGUUCUGGAGGCUCGGAUGUCGGAGCCCAACCUCGCUGGUGGGUGCCGCGAGGCCCCGCAGCGCAGACAGUGGACCAGGUUCCUAUGGUAUCCGUUGGCUGUAACGGCAGUUGCGGAGCUGGGACGUGUUC